rnacentral:rRNA from 1 species
GACAGAGGGUGCAAACGUUGUUCGGAAUUACUGGGCGUAAAGCGCGUGUAGGCGGCUUGGCAAGUCGGGUGUGAAAGCCCCGGGCUCAACCUGGGAAGUGCACUCGAAACUGCUUGGCUUGAGUACUGGAGAGGGAAGCGGAAUUCUCGGUGUAGAUGUGGAAUUCGUAGAUAUUAGGAAGAACACCAGUGGCGAAGGCGGGUCUCUGGGCCGAUACUGACGCUGAGGAGCGAAAGCGUGGGGAGCGAACAGG